rnacentral:rRNA from 1 species
UACAGAGGGUGCAAGCGUUAAUCGGAAUUACUGGGCGUAAAGCGUGCGCAGACGGUUGCGUAAGUCAGAUGUGAAAGCCCUGGGCUCAACCUGGGAAUUGCAGUGGAUACUGGCAAGCUAGAGUGCGGUAGAGGAUGGUGGAAUUCCCGGUGUAGCGGUGAAAUGCGUAGAGAUCGGGAGGAACACCCGUGGCGAAGGCGGCCAUCUGGACCAGCACUGACGCUGAGGCACGAAAGCGUGGGGAGCGAACAGG